AUAAUAGUGCAAUCACUAUGUUCCAUGAAACAAGCAUGCCUUUUAUUUCGAAUUUUGGUUUGUUCGACAUAUAACGUACAUCCUC